GAUGAACGCUGGCGGCGUGCCUAAUACAUGCAAGUCGAGCGAAUGGAUUAAGAGCUUGCUCUUAUGAAGUUAGCGGCGGACGGGUGAGUAACACGUGGGUAACCUGCCCAUAAGACUGGGAUAACUCCGGGAAACCGGGGCUAAUACCGGAUAACAUUUUGAACCGCAUGGUUCGAAAUUGAAAGGCGGCUUCGGCUGUCACUUAUGGAUGGACCCGCGUCGCAUUAGCUAGUUGGUGAGGUAACGGCUCACCAAGGCAACGAUGCGUAGCCGACCUGAGAGGGUGGUCGGCCACACUGGGACUGAGACACGGACCAGACUCCUGCGGGAGGCAGCAGUAGGGAAUCUUCCGCAAUGGACGAAAGUCUGACGGAGCAACGCCGCGUGAGUGAUGAAGGCUUUCGGGUCGUAAAACUCUGUUGUUAGGGAAGAACAAGUGCUAGUUGAAUAAGCUGGCACCUUGACGGUACCUAACCAGAAAGCCACGGCUAACUACGUGCCAGCCGCCGCCGUAA
rnacentral:rRNA from 1 species